AAUGAACGCUGGCGGCAUGCCUUACACAUGCAAGUCGAACGGCAGCAUGACCUAGCUUGCUAGGUUGAUGGCGAGUGGCGAACGGGUGAGUAAUGCAUCGGAACGUGCCUUUUAGUGGGGGAUAACGUAGCGAAAGUUACGCUAAUACCGCAUAUUCUCUGAGGAGGAAAGCAGGGGACCUUCGGGCCUUGCGCUAGAAGAGCGGCCGAUGUCGGAUUAGCUAGUUGGUGAGGUAAAGGCUCACCAAGGCAACGAUCCGUAGCGGGUCUGAGAGGAUGAUCCGCCACACUGGGACUGAGACACGGCCCAGACUCCUACGGGAGGCAGCAGUGGGGAAUUUUGGACAAUGGGCGCAAGCCUGAUCCAGCCAUGCCGCGUGAGUGAAGAAGGCCUUCGGGUUGUAAAGCUCUUUCGGCUGGGAAGAAGUCGCACCCUCUAAUACAGGGUGUGGAUGACGGUACCAGCAUAAGAAGCACCGGCUAACUACGUG
rnacentral:rRNA from 1 species